rnacentral:lncRNA from 1 species
AGUAUAAUCAUAUUGUAAGUAAUCAUAGAAACAAAUCUGAGGCAACAGAUCAACAGGAGAGGAAAGAGUUUAGAUAUAAAUUCCAUCAUGCUGAAAUACAGAAAGAAAUUAGAAAGAGCCUCGGGUGUAAGAACGUUAUUAAAUAGGAGAAAUACGUUGUUUAUUCUGUUAAGAAACGACAAAGUUGAACAUGACCGGGACUCUCUUCUGGGAGUUUACGAGAUACCAUUUAUAGACAAUGAUUUGGACCAGAAUUUUAGGUACAUAGAGUAUAUGGCCAGGUCGCUGAAGAGACGAUUAGGCAAGCAUAAGAGGGAUGUGGAAAAUUCCUCCUCCACCAUGGAUUAGCAUAGAGAGCAUUGAUUAGUGAUUUAAAGAUAAACUGGGAGGAAGCCAAGCUUUUACUAAAGCAAGAAGACCCGGAUAAAGGAAGGAUAGUGGAAGCAUUAACAAUUUUUAAUAGUAAAAACUCCAGACCACAACCGAUCAAUAAAAUGGAUCCAUCCACCAACAAUAAUGCUUGGAAAUUGUGCUUAAGAAAAUCGGG